UACGGAGGGUGCAAGCAUUAUCCGGAUUCACUGGGUUUAAAGGGUGCGUAGGAGGGCAGGUAAGUCAGUGGUGAAAUCCCCGAGCUUAACUUGGGAACUGCCGUUGAUACUAUCUGUCUUGAAUACCGUGGAGGUGAGCGGAGUAUGUCAUGUAGCGGUGAAAUGCUUAGAUAUGACAUAGAACACCAAUUGCGAAGGCAGCUCGCUACACGAAUAUUGACUCUGAGGCACGAAAGCGUGGGGAUCAAACAGG
rnacentral:rRNA from 1 species